AGAGUUUGAUCAUGGCUCAGAGCGAACGCUGGCGGCAGGCCUAACACAUGCAAGUCGAACGGAUCCUUCGGGAUUAGUGGCGGACGGGUGAGUAACACGUGGGAACGUGCCUUUUGGUUCGGAACAACUCAGGGAAACUUGAGCUAAUACCGAAUGUGCCCUUCGGGGGAAAGAUUUAUCGCCAUUAGAGCGGCCCGCGUCUGAUUAGCUAGUUGGUGAGGUAAAGGCUCACCAAGGCUACGAUCAGUAGCUGGUCUGAGAGGAUGAUCAGCCACAUUGGGACUGAGACACGGCCCAAACUCCUACGGGAGGCAGCAGUGGGAAUCUUGCGCAAUGGGCGAAAGCCUGACGCAGCCAUGCCGCGUGAAUGAUGAAGGUCUUAGGAUUGUAAAAUUCUUUCACCGGGGACGAUAAUGACGGUACCCGGAGAAGAAGCCCCGGCUAACUUCGUG
rnacentral:rRNA from 1 species